rnacentral:rRNA from 1 species
UACGGAGGGUGCAAGCGUUAUCCGGAUUUACUGGGUUUAAAGGGUGCGUAGGUGGGUAGGAAAGUCAGUGGUGAAAUCUUCGGGCUUAACCCGGAAACUGCCAUUGAUACUAUUUAUCUUGAAUACUUUGGAGGUAAGCGGAAUAUGUCAUGUAGCGGUGAAAUGCUUAGAUAUGACAUAGAACACCAAUUGCGAAGGCAGCUGGCUACACAAAUAUUGACACUGAGGCACGAAAGCGUGGGGAUCAAACAGG